GGCUGACAUAGAGACAUUUUCUUUAUGAGUCACCACUUAAGCUGGCCUGCACGUCUUUGGCCAGUGGGAAGAAGCCAGAGGAGGCGGAGAAAAAAACACCCUCGUGCUGUGAGGCGACAGUGCCAAACACCACACCACUGUGCCGCCCGUGCAGACGUCCGGUGUGGUAGGGCAGCCGCCUGUUGAAUCCGGUUUUCCUUUGGGUUAAAUGCCCUGGACAACACCCACCAUUUACACUUUACCCUCAUGCACAUCCUACACUACUGAUAAUACUGACAUUUGCAUCCCAUCUGGAAUGGUUAUGGUUUUUCGUUGUUUUGUGUGUUAAAUAAAGAAUGUUACACCUCGGAAA
ensembl:lncRNA